rnacentral:misc_RNA from 1 species
AAGUCGUAACAAGGUUUCCGUAGGUGAACCUGCGGAAGGAUCAUUAACACAAUUUUACUGUGAUAAAUCCGUUGAAUUCUCGAAUUCAAUGGAAUCCACCCCAUUAUUGACGAACUUUUCUAGAUGUUAAAACAUAAAGCUAGUCUUUAGGUUUUAACAUUCUAAACCCUUUUCUAUACCCACACACAUUUAAACCCCUUUUACAACAUGUCUUAGACUGAAAUGAAAAUUUUCUAUCAAAAAAUUGAUAAAAACAACUUUUAACAACGGAUAUCUUGGCUCUC